AUCACGGAUCACGCUUUGAACUAUGAAAUGCUGUUUCAUAAAUAUGUAAAUAAUCUGAGAUCCACUGAGGUAAAUAAGUUCUGUGUCCUGAGAGCAUCACCCAACAACCACAUCCCUGCUCUAGAGAAUCCCCUGAGAGCUCAGCUCCUCACCAUGGACUGGACCUGGAGAAUCCUCUUCUUGGUGGCAGCAGCUACAGGUAAGGGGCUCCCAAGUCCCAGUGAUGAGGAGGGGAUUGAGUCCAGCCAAGGGGGCUUUUAUCCACUCCUGCGUCCUCCCCACAGGUGCCCACUCCCAGAUGCAGCUGGUGCAGUCGGGGCCUGAGGUGAAGAAGCCUGGAGCCUCAGUGAAGGUCUCCUGCAAGGCUUCCGGAUACACCUUCACCUACCGCUACAUGCACUGGGUGCGACAGGCCCCUGGACAAGGGCUUGAGUGGAUGGGAUGGAUCACGCCUUACAAUGGUAACACCAACUAUGCACAGAAGUUCGAAGGCAGAGUCACCAUUACCAGAGACAGGUCCAUGAGCACAAUCUAUAUGGAGCUGAGGAGCCUGAGACCUGAGGACACAGCUGUGUAUCACUGUGCAAGAUACACGGUGUGA